rnacentral:rRNA from 1 species
GACGAACGCUGGCGGCGUGCUUAACACAUGCAAGUCGAACGGAAAGGCCCUGCUUUUGUGGUGUUCUCGAGUGGCGAACGGGUGAGUAACACGUGAGUAACCUGCCCUUGUUUUUCGGAUAAGUUAAGGAAGGGGGGCUUAAGCUCGUACAGCAUCCCACCUACGAUGGAGGGGGUGGGAACUUUUGGGCGGUCGGGGAUGGACUCGCGGCUGUCGAGCUUGCUGGUGGGGUAGUGGCUUACCAAGCAUUUGACGGGUAGCCGGCUUGUGAGGGUGACCGGCCACAUGAGGACUGAGAUACGGCCCAGACUGCUACGGGAGGCAGCAGUGGGGAAUAUGGCACAAUGGGCGGAAGCCUGAUGCAGCAACGCCGCGUGCGGGAUGACCGCCUUCGGGUUGUGAACCGCUUUCGCCUGUGACGAAGCGGGAGUGACGGUAAUGAGUAAAGAAGCACCGGCUAACUACGUG